UAGAAGACAGCCACGCCUCUGCUUUUCUUCUUCCUCCUUUCUAAUUCUACAUAAAAAUCCUAAUCUUCCUAGUCGAAUUCAGUCUUGGUUCGCCCAUUUCGGGCAAGUAAUUAACGUUACCUUUGUCUUCUUCUUUGUAAGUCUCUUUCUCUCUUUUGAUUUUCAUUGGGAUUCAAGUACAGAUUUUGAAUUUCAAAUUCGGAUCCCAAACGAAAUUCAAAAGGAUUUCAAAUCCAAAUUUUGCAGUCCGACAUCGUUUUUAAAAUAAAAUACCUAGCAUUUGGGGUUAUAUAUAUAGAACCCUAUUCUUCAUUUUCAGGAAGAACGACUGGAUAUAGAUCCUUGCUCUCUAUUUUUCUUUACAGUUUCUCACUCGAUUUAUCCUACAUGAAAUACGAAAAAAAAACUUUAGUUCGUUAGAGCCCUCAACACGUUCAUUCGAACUCAUUUGGCUAAAGGUUCGGAUCUGUCAAUACGGGUGAGUAGAUUCGAGGCCUCGACGUCCUAGUUCACUGCACCACGAACAGUUCAGCGUCUUGACUCUUGAGCAUGACUCCUAGAGGCAAACCGAAAUGUGCCAUUGGUCUUCCCCUGGUGGAUCUCCUCUUCAUCAGUCAAGCCAACAUUAUCCUCUUCCCUUUCUAAGGUUUCAAUUCCCGGAAUAAACUUGCAAUGUCACUACUGCAACAUGCGGCGUUCUCAUGCUUCUGUUCAUUUUCUUUAGUAGCACCUCGAAUUAAAUUUGCAUCUUUAAAAUCAUUUGGACAAAGUAAGAGGAUAUUCAAUCUUGAAAGAAGAAAUCAAAUGUUACUGUGCAAAUAUGCCACUAUUAGUUCAGGGAUUAGUUAUUUUGAGACUGGACAAAGUUUAUGAGGAAAAUAAACUAAGGAAUUUUACCAAUCACAUCAUGUAUAUCUUGCAUAUACUUGAACAAAAGUUGAUGGCCAUAUGUGUCUGCUUUGAACAGUUUUUGAGUGCACUACGGUCUUCUUUUGCUAACAUGGUUGAUGGCAUACUAUGUCAAAAAAAGAUACUGUUGGAGUUUAUUCCCUUUUUUAAUUUCUGUCGUAUGUUUCACUUCUAAAUUCUUUCUACCCAACUGGUUAAACACAAUCAUGUAAAUUCUGGGGCAUUCAUAUCCGCUGGAUUCCAUAGAUAGAAUGAGCUAAAAAAGGUUCAGAAAUUUAAUUAGCAUGCUGCGUUAGAAGAAGUUAUUGGUGUAUUCACUCAGUUAACCGCUAUAAACUGUGCAUUGAGCAAUGACUGAAAGAAAAUGCUCAUUUAGGCUUUGUAGUUUUCCACUUUCACUUUACUUCAAGAGUAGCUUCUCCCAAAGUCAGUGUUGAAUUUUAUAGAAACAAUUUAAUGCUAAAUAAAAGGUUUUUUCUUUUUCCAUCUUUUUCUAUUUUGACAAGUCCACAAUAAAAUAGCAUCUGAUGAAACAAUUGCAAAUACUUUUUUUUGCAAGUAUGGAAAAUGGCCUUAAUUGAUGGUGAUAUCAUAUGUUUACAGUUAGUUUGGUAGAGUAGUUGUUAGCUUGAUUUGAUCCUAUUAGAUGAAUUCUCCUCUACCAACACAUGCCAUCUUGACCAUAUAACUGCUAAGGUCUUCAUAUAUAUGAAAAUCAUGGUAUGGUUUACUGCUUGGUUCUUUAAUACCUUUUGACAGUAAGAUUUCUCUCUAAUUCCGUCAUUCUUUCUUUGUUUGACAUGUACACCGGAGCCGAAGAGUUUCACUUUGAGACUCAACGACGCCGCUUAUGGAGUCCGCACAUCAUUCACUAUCUUCUCUCUUACUCUCUUGAGCGGAAAAUUGCAGAGCAUUGUCAUCUUGCGAAAGCCAAAAUGGCGUUUAUCAUUUACAUCACUUGGCCUACUCAUUACAGUGUUUAAAAUUUCCUCUGGGACUAAUCCUUUAUUCUGUUUUGUGAUUGAUUGUUAAGAUCUACGCUAAUUUAUAAUUUAUAAUUAAUUUUCCUUCAA